AAGUCGUAACAAGGUUUCCGUAGGUGAACCUGCGGAAGGAUCAUUAGAGGGAGAGGGGAAGGUUUCGACCUAACCAUCUGAGAUAGCUGUGAGGGUGGUUUUGAGACGGCGUGGGUGGUCUGAGUACUGCCCACCCGUACUUUGACACAUGCGGGAGUACCAUGUCGGACUGACACGUUGUGGGCUUUAUACUUGACCAGCAGAGGGUAAUAUAGAAACAACUUUUAGCAAUGGAUCUCUUGGUUCCU
rnacentral:misc_RNA from 1 species